UACGUAGGGGGCGAGCGUUGUCCGAAGUUACUGGGCGUAAAGCGCGCGCAGGCGGUUCUUCAAGUCAGUGGUGAAAGCCCGGAGCUCAACUCCGGAAAUGCCAUUGAAACUGUAGAACUUGAGGACGAGAGAGGUGAGUGGAAUUCCCAGUGUAGAGGUGAAAUUCGUAGAUAUUGGGAAGAACACCGGUGGCGAAGGCGGCUCACUGGCUCGUUUCUGACGCUCAGGCGCGAUAGCGUGGGGAUCAAACAGG
rnacentral:rRNA from 1 species